CUCUUCAUUCUGCGUUGUCCUGCAGAGAAGCUGGGAGAGCACCAAGCAGAGAAAGAAUCGUCUCCUCUUUCUGAGUUCUGCUGACCCGGGCACUAUCAGAAAGGAGGCCGAGAAGUCCGGAGGACGAUCUCCGAGGACGAUGGCAUGAAUCUGAAAGAAAAAGCAAUAUUGGAAGUCAGAGAGACAUGAAGGUGUGAAGCAUCCCUUACUUCUGCGUACACAGGCACAAUUCUGUGCCUUUGGAGUGUCAUUAAAACUACAGGAGCCUGGACACCCGACCAGGGGCUCUGCACCCUCAACCAAGGCUUGUCAUGGCUUCACUGUUGUAAGAAGGAAAACUGAGGAGAGAAAGCGGGAAGGACAAAGAGAAUGGGUCAUGCAGAGCGCCUCUGAACAGGACUGUAUCGAGGAGAAGAUGGCCGCACUAGCCAGCCAAGUUAGACGGGGUGACACAGAGCAUCUUACAUCCCAGACUCCUCACCAGGCGUGGUACCUGCUUAAGACCCCAGCGCUUGGGAGGUGGAGGCAAUUCAUGGUCAUUCUCAGCUAGACGAUGCGCCUGGCUUUUACAUGGACGGCCCAGCACUGCACCUGACUCACACGGAUGCUGAGGAUCUGACUCAGGUCCUCACUGCUUGUAUGGCCACACAAACAGGACCAAACUCAUCAUGCAAUCAUAGAUGGCCGUGAACUUUUGCUCUUCUACCUCUCUGCCUCCCCAGUGCUGGGGUUACAACCUGUCGUCAUCACACCUGGUUUAUGCAGUGCUGGAAACUGAACCUUGUGCUUCCUAGGCAAGCACCCUACCUACUUACCCGCCUGAGGCCAGUGUACGUGAAGCAGCGUUUGCUUGGGAAUUACAGAAAGCAAAUGUAUCUGGAGAGCGAAACGAAGUCCUGUGUUCUGCAAACUCAGCUUCUUGUCAGAGAAACAAGUGUGGCUUUCCUCCUCAGCCUCCAGUUACUUCCUCAUGGUAAAGCCGGCCCCGUAGCUCCAGCUCAGAGUCAGGCCAGGGGAAGAAUUUGCAUUUAAGUUUUUUUUAA